rnacentral:rRNA from 1 species
AUUGUCCUUCAGUUAGGCUGGCCCCAGAACAGGUGCUGCAUGGCUGUCGUCAGCUCGUGUCGUGAGAUGUUGGGUUAAGUCCCGCAACGAGCGCAACCCUCGCCCUUAGUUGCCAGCAUUUAGUUGGGCACUCUAAGGGGACUGCCGGUGAUAAGCCGAGAGGAAGGUGGGGAUGACGUCAAGUCCUCAUGGCCCUUACGGGCUGGGCUACACACGUGCUACAAUGGUGGUGACAGUGGGCAGCGAGACAGCGAUGUCGAGCUAAUCUCCAAAAGCCAUCUCAGUUCGGAUUGCACUCUGCAACUCGAGUGCAUGAAGUUGGAAUCGCUAGUAAUCGCAGAUCAGCAUGC